UACGUAGGGGGGCUAGCGUUGUCCGGAUUUAUUGGGCGUAAAGAGCGUGUAGGCGGCCAGGUAGGUCUGGUGUGAAAACUCGAGGCUUAACCUCGAGAUGUCAUCGGAAACCAUCUGGCUAGAGUCCGGAAGAGGAGAGUGGAAUUCCUGGUGUAGCGGUGAAAUGCGCAGAUAUCAGGAAGAACACCAAUGGCGAAGGCAGCUCGCUGGACAGCAACUGACGCUGAUGCGCGAAAGCUAGGGGAGCAAACAGG
rnacentral:rRNA from 1 species